ensembl:lncRNA
GGGGAAGCAGAAAAAUGGAAUACAUCUUAAAGUAAGGCAGUACAAGCUUAGAUGAUGGCCAGGACACAGGUGGGAAAUUUAUGGAACUUUUAUCUUCAGCUGCAGCUGAUGGAUUCCUGGAGAAAACCCAGAGGUCAAGAGGGAAUCUGGAACAGUAUGUCAAAUGUGAUACCAGUGCUGAAGGGCCACUGCUUUUCAGAUAAAUGAGCUGGAGAAGCCCUGUGCCCAUUCUGGCAAUCCAGGUUGUGAGCACAGGAGCAGGAGGGGGAAACCAGACACCUCCAGCAUCACUCCGUGGCAGAUCCUUUUCCUGUAAAAGAUCAGGCUGUUCAAGCAGGGAUACAUUGCACUUCCAGGUUUCCAUUACCCCCUGCUGAUGCUGCA